rnacentral:rRNA from 1 species
GAGGAACACGUGAAGAAUCUGCCCUCCACUUUGGGAUAACACCGGGAAACCGGUGCUAAUACCGAAUAUUGAAACAUAAGUGGCAUCACUGAGUUUUGAAAGAAUUUCGGUGGAGGAUGACUUCGCGGCCUAUCAGCUAGUUGGUGAGGUAAUGGCUCACCAAGGCAACGACGGGUAGCCGGCCUGAGAGGGCGACCGGCCACACUGGGACUGAGACACGGCCCAGACUCCUACGGGAGGCAGCAGUGGGGAAUAUUGGGCAAUGGAGGAAACUCUGACCCAGCGACGCCGCGUGCGGGAUGAAGGCCUUCGGGUUGUAAACCGCUUUCAGUAGGGAAGAAGCGAAAGUGACGGUACCUACAAAAGAAGCACCGGCUAACUAUGUGCCAGCAGCCGCGGUAAUACAUAGGGUGCAAGCGUUGUCCGGAAUUAUUGGGCGUAAAGAGCUCGUAGGUCGUUUGUUACGUCGGAUGUGAAAACCUGAGGCUCAACCUCAGGCCUGCAUUCGAUACGGGCAAACUAGAGUUUGGUAGGGGAGACUGGAAUUCCUGGUGUAGCGGUGGAAUGCGCAGAUAUCAGGAGGAACACCAAUGGCGAAGGCAGGUCUCUGGGCCAAUACUGACACUGAGGAGCGAAAGUCUGGGGAGCGAACAGGAUUAGAUACCCUGGUAGUCCAGACCGUAAACGGUGGGCACUAGUUGUGGGAACCUUCCACGGUUUCUGCGACGCAGCUAACGCAUUAAGUGCCCCGCCUGGGGAGUACGAUCGCAAGAUUAAAACUCAAAGGAAUUGACGGGGGCCCCCGCACAAGCAGCGGAGCAUGCGGCUUAAUUCGACGCAACGCGAAGAAACUUACCAAAGGCUUGACAUAUAGGGAAAAGUGGCAAAGAUGUCAUGUUCCGCAAGGGGCCCUAUACAGGUGGUGCAUUGUUGUCUUCACCUCGU